GCAGACUAACACAUGCAGUCGAGCGGAUGAGGGAGCUUGCUCCUGGAUUCAGCGGCGGACGGGUGAGUAAUGCCUAGGAAUCUGCCUGGUAGUGGGGGAUAACGUCCGGAAACGGGCGCUAAUACCGCAUACGUCCUGAGGGAGAAAGUGGGGGAUCUUCGGACCUCACGCUAUCAGAUGAGCCUAGGUCGGAUUAGCUAGUUGGUGGGGUAAAGGCCUACCAAGGCGACGAUCCGUAACUGGUCUGAGAGGAUGAUCAGUCACACUGGAACUGAGACACGGUCCAGACUCCUACGGGAGGCAGCAGUGGGGAAUAUUGGACAAUGGGCGAAAGCCUGAUCCAGCCAUGCCGCGUGUGUGAAGAAGGUCUUCGGAUUGUAAAGCACUUUAAGUUGGGAGGAAGGGCAGUAAGUUAAUACCUUGCUGUUUUGACGUUACCAACAGAAUAAGCACCGGCUAACUUCGUGCCAGCAGCCGCGGUAAUACGAAGGGUGCAAGCGUUAAUCGGAAUUACUGGGCGUAAAGCGCGCGUAGGUGGUUCAGCAAGUUGGAUGUGAAAUCCCCGGGCUCAACCUGGGAACUGCAUCCAAAACUACUGAGCUAGAGUACGGUAGAGGGUGGUGGAAUUUCCUGUGUAGCGGUGAAAUGCGUAGAUAUAGGAAGGAAACACCAGUGGCGAAGCGACCACCUGGACUGAUACUUGACACUGAGGUGCGAAAGCGUGGGGAGCAAACAGGAUUAGAUACCCUGGUUAGUCCACGCCGGUAACGAUGUCGACUAGCCGUUGGGAUGCCUUGAGAUCAUAAUGUCGCAGCUACCGCGAUGAGUCCAACCCCCUGGGGUAGUACGGGCGCACCGUAAGGUUUCAACUC
rnacentral:rRNA from 1 species